GUUUCAAGCCCCCUUACAGUGGACUGUAUUGCUUCAGAAUAGAUUCCAAGAAGUAAGGAUUGAAGGAAGAGCAAUAUAUGUGCUUAGAACUUCAGCUAGGGUUUAGACGUGUUUCAGCAGUUCCCACAAGUUGGAUCGAAGGGUGCCAGAAGCCAUUUUGAUACUCAAUAUUUUUUCCCUAAAUAAAUCAUGACUUUGAAUUGGUGAACAAAGAGAGAUUAAUGUACUUUCUUAAUUAUUGACUCCUAUGACUUGGCCUAAUGGAGUCGUAUCUAAUUAUGGAAAAAACCUCAAGCUUCCAAGGAUACUUGGUACAUUGAGCUUAAGGGCACAGGUGCUGCUGCCUAAGCUCAUGUGUGAACAUGGCAUCAUGGGAAAAUGACACUUCUCUGACAGCCUGGAAGUUGAUAUUGGAUGACAGUACCUUUCGUAGCUCUGCAGUCAUCUCAUGGUUGGUACCAGCAAUGUGGCAAGAGCUAGAAAUUGAAGGGAGCAAAGAUGUUGGGCAAAGCAGGAGGAGAAGAAUGUCAUACAUUGUAAGUGUCAUUGCAGAAGAUAAAAAUAUCAUGGACACAUGAAUAUGUCUAAUAUCCUCACUGGAAUGCUAUAUAUGUGUUCAGUAUGUCUAAGAAUCAAAGAAAAACAUAGCAAUCAUCUGUUUGGGAGAGAUUAUCAAUGCCAUCCCACUGAUGGUAUGAGAAGCCGUGUCUUCUGCAGUCAGCUGGCUGAAAUUAAAGGCCACAUCACUGAAAUGAGAAAGUUUGAUGAAAAUGAUGGCAUGAAAAAAAUGGGCCUCCUUUGCCAUGAACCCUUCAUAAGAUAUAUUGUGCUACCAUAGGGUCUAUACAACUGAGUCAGGUAACUGUGAGGUAAAAUAAAUCUUUUGUUCUUACAUUCUGAUUAUCUCAGAUAUUUGGUAUAGCAUAGCAAUGGAGAGCUGCCUAACAAUGUCAAAGAAAAUGUAUAUAGACAAUUAACCUCCUUGCCAUUUUGGCAGUAAGUUUAGUACUUUGAGAGCUCUUGUGAGUGCAUUGCCAAUUUUCUUUCUUUUUUUUUUUUUCUGAAAAUCUACUUGACAUAAAGAGUCAGUAUUACUGUUUUGUUAUUAGAGAACAUGGUUAUUUAACUUUAUAUGCAUAUAUUUUGAUCAAAUGUAAAUAAUAUAAAAUUCAAGUCUCUGUGUCUCAAGUGCUGGGCUUAAAUAAUAUAAAAUUCAAAAGCAUUCAAGUCAGUGAUAUUUACAUAUUAACAUUAUGAAAUCAUCUCUAUUCUUUCAUUCCAUAGCAAUGAUAUUACCUCCUCCCUCCAAAAUUCUUUACUCAUUAAUCUGUGACUCCAUAUUUCACUUUGCCCACAUACUCUGGAAACUAUUGAUUUUCUCUUUUUCUUUCUUUUUUUUCUCUUUUUCUUUACAUGGAUUUUUAUAUAAAUGGAACAGUAUCUGUCUGACUUAAUUCAAUUACCAUGUUUGUAAAAUUUAUGGUUUCAUUUUUCUAUCAGUUGAAUAGUAGUCCAUUGUAUAUAUAAAUGCACUUUGAUUAUCCAUUUAUCUGUUGAAGGAUUGCUAGAUUAUUUCUAUUUCCUUACUAUUGUAAAAACAUUGCUGAGCAGGAUGCUGAGUCCUCUGGCCAUAUGCUGAAGAGUGGUAUGUCUGGGUCAUGGGAUAGAUCUGCUGUUAGCUUUUUGAAGAUUCUCUAUACUGACUUCUAGAGUAGCUGCAUUAGUUUGCACUCCCAGCAGCAGUGAAUGAGUUUCCUUUUCCUCACAUACUUGCCAACAUGUGUUGUAAGUUGUUUGUUGAUCAUAGCCAUUUUGACUUGGGUAAGAUGAAAUUUCAAAGUUGUUUAAAUGUUCAUUUUACUAAUUGCUAAAGAUGAUGAAGACAUUUUUGAAAUAUUUCUUAGAAAUUUUUAUUUCUUCUACAGAGAAGUGUGUUUAGACAUAUAGCAUGUUGUUGUUUUUACGUUGGUUAAUUUGUUUUCUUGACUAUUUUUUGUUGUUUUUAUUUUUGAGGCAAGGGUGUGGUGGUCUGAAUAUGCUUGGUCUAUAUGGAGUGGCACUGUUAGGAGGUGUGACCUUGUUGGAGGAAGUGUGUUACUGUGUGGGUGGGUUUUGGACAUUUCUUCCUAUGCUCAAGGUCCACCCAUUUUGGAAGAGAGCCUCCUCCUAGCUGAUGAAGUCAGUCUUCCCCUGUUUGCCUUUGGAACAAGAUGUAGAAUUCUCAGCUCCAGCACCAUGCCUGCCUGGUUGCUGUCAUACUUCCUGCCUUGAUAACAAUGGCUUGAACCGCAGAACCUGUAAGCUAGUCCCAAUUAAAUAUUGUUUUUUAUGAGAGUUGCCUUGGUCGUGG